CCUACGGGAGGCAGCAGUGGGGGAUAUUGCACAAUGGGGGAAACCCUGAUGCAGCGACGCCGCGUGAGUGCAGAAGUAUUUCGGUAUGUAAAGCUCUAUCAGCAGGGAAGAAAAUGACAGUACCUGACCAAGAAGCCCCGGCUAACUACGUGCCAGCAGCCGCGGUAAUACGGGGGAUGCAAGCGUUAUCCGGAUUUAUUGGGUUUAAAGGGUGCGUAGGCUGUGAGGUAAGUCAGCGGUGAAAUGCCCCCGCUGAACGGGGUGAAGUGCCAUUGAUACUGCCUUGCUGGAAUGCGGAUGCCGUGGGAGGAAUGGGUGGUGUAGCGGUGAAAUGCAUAGAUAUCACACAGAACACCGAUUGCGAAGGCAUCUCACGAAUCCGCGAUUGACGCUGAUGCACGAAAGCGUGGGUAUCAAACAGGAUUAGAUACCCCGGUAGUC
rnacentral:rRNA from 1 species